AUGGAAAAGCGUCAACUAUCUCCAGCUGAAUUCAACCUCAGAAAGCUCCUGAAGCAAAAGAUCAUUGGCCUUGCGGCUGUUGAACGAGCUCGUCGACGCCAAGCCUCUCGGAUAACAUGGCUCAAGGCUGGAGAUGCAACCACUGCCUUCUUCAACGCAAAGGCCGGCUCAAGGAAGAGAAAAAAAUUCAUUCACUCCCUGCGAACUGGUGAUCACGUGGCGAUCGAGCAUGACGAGAAGGCCAACACCAUUUUUGAGCACUUCAAUAGGAUCAUGGGAGCUGCUGAGCCCAGAAGAUGCACCAUUAACUAGGCUGAUUUGAACUUACCAACUAUCCAGGCCGAUGGUCUGGACGCUCCUUUCACCGAAGCAGAAGUCUGGAGAGCAAUUCUGGAUUCCCCGGCAGAGAAAGCUCCAGGGCCCGACGGCUUCAAUGGGCAGUUUUUCAGAAGCUGCUAG
rnacentral:rRNA from 1 species